GGGACAUCGGAGACCAUUCAUUUCCAUGUCAGCAUUUUUAGAUGCAGGAAGUGAGAGGUAAUGAGGUGAGGACACAUGUCCUUGUUCACAGGGCUAAUUAACAGAGCUGGGAAAAGAACAGAAUACUCAGUCAAGAACUAUUUUCCUUAUGUCACAGAGGACUCCUCCUCCAAAGUAGUUGUUGUUCUUGCAUUGCAAAGGGUUCUAGAAGGGGAGGACAAGUGAAACUAGGAGCACCAGCAGCUCGUGCAGAAUGGUGGCAAAGACCACAGGACAUGGGGCCAUACCUACAUGGCUGGAAUCCUGUCUUCUCAACUUCCCAGUGGUGUGAUCCUGGGCAAGUUCUCUGUGAGGUAGCAAUUAGAUAUUGUGAAGUCACAGUUAACCUCUCUGCAUAGUCACAAUGAAUCGAUUGCAAAUGUUUUGGUGUAUUUGUCAAGUGUUUUGCUCUGUAUUGGGAACAGAAUUAAUAUUAGAUGCAUGUAAAUCUGGAACCGUGUCUGUGUUUAAGUGCUUAAUUAUUGUUUCUGAAAGGCCCACUGAUGGAGCUGGUAAUGUUACAAGAAAGAUUUGCAGCAGUAGUACAUUCUUAGACCCUGGACAUGAACAAGGAGAGGGUGAAUGUCCACUUGCCAAGAAUGCUGUAGAAGAAAUUUCCGUAUCAGGUAAGUGGCUGCCCUGGAUGAACUCUAAGGCAAUUUCUAGCUACAGGAUUCUAUGAUACUAGGCCAGAGUCCUAUGUUCUUUUCCCACAUACUA